rnacentral:tRNA from 1 species
UCCCUGGUGGCUCAGAUGGUAAAGCGUCUGCCUGCAAUGCAAGAGACCCAGGUUCGAUCCCUGGGUUGGGAA